rnacentral:rRNA from 1 species
AUUGAACGCUGGCGGCAGGCUUAACACAUGCAAGUCGAGCGGGGGAAGGUAGCUUGCUACCGGACCUAGCGGCGGACGGGUGAGUAAUGCUUAGGAAUCUGCCUAUUAGUGGGGGACAACAUCUCGAAAGGGAUGCUAAUACCGCAUACGUCCUACGGGAGAAAGCAGGGGAUCUUCGGACCUUGCGCUAAUAGAUGAGCCUAAGUCGGAUUAGCUAGUUGGUGGGGUAAAGGCCUACCAAGGCGACGAUCUGUAGCGGGUCUGAGAGGAUGAUCCGCCACACUGGGACUGAGGCACGGCCCAGACUCCUACGGGAGGCAGCAGUGGGGAAUAUUGGACAAUGGGGGGAACCCUGCUCCAGCCAUGCCGCGUGUGUGAAGAAGGCCUUAUGGUUGUAAAGCACUUUAAGCGAGGAGGAGGCUACUUUAGUUAAUACCUAGAGAUAGUGGACGUUACUCGCAGAAUAAGCACCGGCUAACUCUGUGCCAGCCGCCGCAGUAA